GCCUUUUUAACAGGGAGACUCAACUGUAAAGGGCUGCAGACAGAAGCUCAGCUGUGGAACAUGAACUGACGCCUUUACUGGAACUAAUCUUGAUUUAGCAGUUUUCUGAUUCGGAUACAACACCGGAUUAUUCUAUAAUCUUUAAGGAGACAUGACUAAGUGACUAAAGGAGCGAUCUGCAGAUGAAAGACAAGAAGUUAAAACCUAAAGAACCAGGAGAGGAAAAGACGCUGAUGUUAGUCAGAAGAAACAGCUUUCUUUACUUCAAACCAAACUUUUCUCAAGAUGUUCCAGAAAAAGUGUCCGACUCUCACACAUCAUCAUCUCCAGCAGCUGAUUCCUGAUCUUCAGAUCGAGUUCAGUUUUCUGAAGAUCAACACAAAUCUGAUCAGCUUGAUCCUGAUGAGGACACAUUUCUCUCCUGAUGGGAGUGUUGUCCUCCAGGAUGAGGACACGAGGAUCACUGAAGGGUUCAGUCUCCAGAUCUAAACUCAUUUAAACAGCUGAGAGAUUGAUGAAGACAGCGCUCUGCGUCUCCAUCAAAACACCAAACCAGGAACAUCUUUAGGAAGAAGGAACGGUGAACGAGAAUGUUCUGGAAAGUGGUUCUGUGUCUCUGUGAUGCUGUAUCUAUCACACAACCUUGUUUACUUACAGACCGCAGGCCAGUGUAAUGCACAAGAAUGUAUUUUUAUACAGGUUCAUGUUUAUUUGAAUCACUGGUUACUGUAUGUACUGUACUGCUGUAUGAUAUUGGAUGUAAUAUACCGUUGAAAACAUGAAGUCAUGAGAUAUAAAGCUUUAAUGCAGUCAUUAUCAAACAGCUAAACUGUACACUUUUAAUGUCUCCUUAAAGUCUGAUACAUGCUUUUGAAGUUGGGGAGUAAACUAGAAAUGAAUUAUUUAUAUCAAUAAGUCUGUACUACUCCAGGAAAUAAAACCAUUUCACACUUGUAAAAAUAAACACAAGAAGAAAAAAGUGUUUGUUGUGAUGAAGUAGUUUAUUGUUCAGUGGAUAAACAACAGCAAGAGUAAGAAAUGUGUUCAGACUGAACAUCAUUAAAGCAGGGAUCUGUUCUGUCUUGAGUUCUUGUACAAGAUCAGACAUUAAAACAAAGACAAUCCAGUCAUCUCCAGGAGAUCAUCAGAGUUACAGAGGAGACACCUCACAUCUACAUCUACAACUACAUCUAGAAAUGGAGAUUACAGGAGUGAUGAUCACUUUAAUCAGUCUAACGAUUAUUAUCUGAUUUUACAUAAUACCAUAUCCUUAAAUUCAUUACAGCACUAAUAAAGAGAUGCUUCAGAAAACGAUAUACUCCAGUCAUGAAGCUCAAACAGAAAUUUAACGUAAUUUAAUUAAUAAAAAACGAAAAUAUAAAACAUCCUGGCAUAGUAACUAAAAUUUGGAGGUAAAAUUUAAAUACAACGACAAUAAUAUCAAAAUGUAAAAAUAUAUUUUAUUAAUAAACUGAAAACCUGCUUCAAUUUAGACCUGCUGAUUUAGUUGUUAAAGAACAACAUGUCAAAUAUUUAUUUUGAGAUCAGUAAAAAUUACGAUGUGAAAACAACUUUUAAUAAGUCGUGAUGACGAAAAACAAGAAGAAAAAAUCAUAACCCAAAAUGCGUCAGCAGAAUAUAGCGACAAUAAUAAUAAAACACGCAAUAAAUCUUUAUCAUACACACUUAGCCUACAAUAUAAUCCGAUGAUGUAUCCGAAUCAGAAAAGUGUCAAAUGAAGAGUAUCUCCAGUAAAUAGAUGAAUCCACUCUCAGAAGAUCUACAGCAGCUCUCGUCUG